UGUGGGGUCAGCACACCCCAGUCCAGCCCCACGGAUGGCACAGCCUGCACAAAGGAUGCCAGCUCCUAUGGGGUCAGCUCCUAUGGGGUCAGCAGCUCCUAUGGGGUCAGCAGCUCCUAUGGGGUCAGCUCCUAUGGGGUCAACGCACCCGAAUCCAGCCCCACGGAUGGCAGAACCUCACCUAAGGAUGCAGCAACCCCAAGUGAAUCCAUCCCCAUCUAUGGGAUUGCCUGCACAGAGGAUGACAGCGCCUAUGGGGUCAGCAGCUCCUAUGGGGUCAGCAGCUCCUAUGGGGUCAGCUCCUAUGGGGUCAGCACGUCCGAAUCCAGCCCCACGGAUGGCAGAACCUCGCCUAAGGAUGCAGCAACCCCAAGUGAAUCCAGCCCCACGGAUGGCACAGCCUACACAAAGGAUGCCAGCACCCAUAGGAUCAGCUCCUAUGGGGCCAGCUCCUAUGGGGUCAGCUCAUAUGGGAUCAUCACGCCCGAGUCCAGCCCCACGGAUGGCAGAACCUCGCCUAAGGAUGCAGCAACCCCAAGUGAAUCCAGCCCCAUCUAUGGGACUGCCUGCACAAAGGAUGAUGGCUCCUAUGGGGUCAGCACCUCCUAUGGGGUCGGCUCCUAUGGGGUCAACGCACCCAAAUCCAGCCCCACGGAUGGGAGAACCUCGCCUAAGUCUGCAGACAUCCCAAGUGAAUCCAUCCCCAUCUAUGGGACUGCCUGCACAGAGGAUGACAGCGCCUAUGGGGUCAGCAGCUCCUAUGGGGUCAGCAGCUCCUAUGGGGCCAGCAGCUCCUAUGGGGCCAGCAGCUCCUAUGGGGUCAACGCACCCAAAUCCAGCCCCACGGAUGGCAGCACCCCCCCAGAGGAUGCGGCCGCCCAUGGGAUCCCCCCACCUGAACCCACCCCCACCCAUGGGAGAAGCUCAAUGGAGGGCGCAGCCAUCAAUGGGAUCCCAGCCCAAUCCAGCCCUGCGAAUGGGGACCCCUCCCCAAAGGAUGAGAGCACCCAUGGGACCCCCCCGACCCAACCCCCCCCCACCCAUGGGACCCCCCCAACCCAACCCCCCCAUGGGAGAACCCCAUUGGGGAGCACAGCCGCCUUUGGGAUCCCAGCCCACCCCAUCCCUGCGUAUGGGGACCCCUCCCCAAAGGAUGAGGGCACCCAUGGGACCCCCACAGAACCCCCCCCCACCCAUGGGACCCGGACCCCCCCAGGGGACGUGUCCGUGUAUGGGACCACCAAUGGGAGACCCUCAAUGGAGGACGUGGACCCCUAUG
rnacentral:lncRNA from 1 species